UGGGGAAUUUUGGACAAUGGGCGAAAGCCUGAUCCAGCAAUGCCGCGUGUGUGAAGAAGGCCUUCGGGUUGUAAAGCACUUUUGUCCGGAAAGAAAUCCUUGGCUCUAAUACAGUCGGGGGAUGACGGUACCGGAAGAAUAAGCACCGGCUAACUACGUGCCAGCAGCCGCGGUAAUACGUAGGGUGCAAGCGUUAAUCGGAAUUACUGGGCGUAAAGCGUGCGCAGGCGGUUUGCUAAGACCGAUGUGAAAUCCCCGGGCUCAACCUGGGAACUGCAUUGGUGACUGGCAGGCUAGAGUAUGGCAGAGGGGGGUAGAAUUCCACGUAUAGCAGUGAAAUGCGUAGAGAUGUGGAGGAAUACCGAUGGCGAAGGCAGCCCCCUGGGCCAAUACUGACGCUCAUGCACGAAAGCGUGGGGAGCAAACAGGAUUAGAUACCCUGGUAGUCCACGCCCUAAACGAUGUCAACUAGUUGUUGGGGAUUCAUUUCCUUAGUAACGUAGCUAACGCGUGAAGUUGACCGCCUGGGGAGUACGGUCGCAAGAUUAAAACUCAAAGGAAUUGACGGGGUCAUAGCUGUUU
rnacentral:rRNA from 1 species